rnacentral:rRNA from 1 species
GAUGAACGCUAGCGACAGGCUUAACACAUGCAAGUCGAGGGGCAGCACGGGAGUAGCAAUACAACUGGUGGCGACCGGCGCACGGGUGAGUAACGCGUAUGCAACCUACCUAUCAGAGGGGAAUAACCCGGCGAAAGUCGGACUAAUACCGCAUAAAACAGGGGCACCGCAUGGUGAUAUUUGUUAAAGAAAUUCGCUGAUAGAUGGGCAUGCGUUCCAUUAGGUAGUUGGUGAGGUAACGGCUCACCAAGCCGACGAUGGAUAGGGGAACUGAGAGGUUGGUCCCCCACACUGGUACUGAGACACGGACCAGACUCCUACGGGAGGCAGCAGUGAGGAAUAUUGGUCAAUGGGCGGGAGCCUGAACCAGCCAAGUCGCGUGAAGGAAGAAGGAUCUAUGGUUCGUAAACUUCUUUUGCAGGGGAAUAAAGUGCAGGACGUGUCCUGUUUUGUAUGUACCCUGAGAAUAAGGAUCGGCUAACUCCGUGCCAGCAGCCGCCGCAGUAA